rnacentral:rRNA from 1 species
GAUUUCUGAUGCGACCUGCCUGGCCCGCCGUGGUUACACGCGUGAGUGCCGGGUGUUGUCCGUCUGUCUUCCUGUGACUUGCUGCCCUCUUCACUGAGUGGUGGUGUCUAGUUGUAGGAUCUUUUACUUUGAACAAAUUAGAGUGUUUCAAGCAGGCUUCUGCCAUGAAUACAUUAGCAUGGAAUAAUCAUUUAGGACUUCGGUUCUAUUUUGUUGGUUUCUAUAACUGAAGUAAUGAUUGAUAGGGAUAGUUGGGGGUGCUAGUAUUGGCCGGCCAGAGGUGAAAUUCUUGGAUUCGGUCAAGACUAACUUAUGCGAAAGCAUU